GAUGAACGCUAGCGGCAGGCUUAAUACAUGCAAGUCGAGGGGCAGCAUGACUGUAGCAAUACAGUUGAUGGCGACCGGCAAACGGGUGCGGAACACGUACAGAACCUUCCUUCGAGCGGGGAAUAGCCCAGAGAAAUUUGGAUUAAUACCCCAUAGUAUUACGGAGUGGCAUCACUUUGUAAUUAAAGAUUUAUCACUUGAAGAUGGCUGUGCGGCUGAUUAGGUAGUUGGCGGGGUAACGGCCCACCAAGCCUGCGAUCAGUAACUGGUGUGAGAGCACGACCAGUCACACGGGCACUGAGACACGGGCCCGACUCCUACGGGAGGCAGCAGUAAGGAAUAUUGGUCAAUGGACGAAAGUCUGAACCAGCCAUGCCGCGUGGAGGAUGAAGGUCCUCUGGAUUGUAAACUUCUUUUAUAUGGGACGAAAAAAGGCAUUUCUAAGUCGUCUGACGGUACCAUAUGAAUAAGCACCGGCUAACUCCGUGCCAGCAGCCGCCGUAAUAC
rnacentral:rRNA from 1 species